UACAAAAUGAAAGAAAAUGAGAUUAAAUGUCUUUGAAAUUAAAGAAGGAUGAAAAAGAAAAUAGAAUGAAGUUUUUGAAAUUGAAUUUUGGACUAGUAAAAUUGUUGCGAUACAACUGUACUACAUACAGUGCAAUGUACAUUAGACAUUUGAAGGUGGUGAUUUUUUCAUGAGCAACUUUUCAGGAUUAUUUCAUCUUUUUAUUUUUCUUUUGAUUGAUUUGGCACAUAUGCAAAAUGGUAAGUUUGGAUAUGUUGUGUGUGCGCUCUUCUUUUGAGUUUUGCCUAAACAAGAUAAAGGUUAUUUUACAAGUCACAUUUCUUUGUAUAUUUUGUGUAUGGGCUGUAACCUGUAACACACAGUAAGGUAAUUUUGCCAUUUUUGUUGGUUAUUACGGUUGAAAUUGGAAAAUGGUGUAAGAUACAAAAUGAAAGAAAAUGAGCUUAAAUAUUUAAUGAUUAAAUGUAAGACAAAAUGAUACAACCGUUUGAUUCUGGUUGUACACUUUAUUUUUUUUGUUGGUUUUGAUAUGUAGACACAUUUUUUCACAAACAUAGACAGGAUUAAUAAAGGCUACGUGUGUAUUGUUAUUGCUACAUCAUAGUUGUCAUGGAUCGAAAUUGGAUGCAUGCUCGGCGUAAUAGUGAUGAGUAUGAGCAUGGAGUAGAAGAGUUCAUUGAAUUUGCAAGAAAACAUGCUGAGGACGCAACACAUAUUUUAUGUCCAUGUGUUGAUUGUAAUAGUAUGGUUCGACUUAAUAUUGAGGACGUAAAAGUUCACUUGAUGGCUAAAGGCAUUAAUCAAUUUUACAAGUGUUGGUUACAUCAUGGUGAGAUAUUAGGGGAGGUUCCUAAUGUGCACGGUAUGAUGGAUUUUGAAACUGGGAUGGAAGUAGAGAUGGAUGGAGAAUCUUCCGGUGAAGAUAAUGAGUUUGAAGAAAUGGCAAAAGCUUUGGAGGAAAACUUUGCAGAUUGUCCAGAGAUGUUUGAUAACUUGUGUAGUGAUGCAAAGAAACCUUUGUAUUCGGGAUGCACUAAAUAUAGUAGAUUAUCUGCUAUUAUCAAAUUGUUUAAUGUCAAAGCAAGUAAUGGAAUAACAGAUAAAGGCUUUGCUGGUUUCUUAGAUGCAAUACAUGAAAUGCUCCCACAUGGAAACCUACUUCCAACUCGCACCUAUGAUGCUAAAAAGAUGCUAAGCUCUAUUGGCUUGACUUAUGGAAGAAUCCAUGCAUGUCCAAACGACUGCAUCUUGUAUCGCAAAGAGUAUUCGUUGUUGGAGUAUUGUCCCAAAUGUAAAGCUCCAAGAUAUAAGAAAAAGAAGAUUCCGGCCAAAGUAAUGUGGUAUUUUCCAAUUUUGCCAAGGUUUAGACGACUUUUUAGCAUUCCAGAAACUGCAAAGAGUUUGACAUGGCAUGCGGAUGAACGGAAGAAUGAUGGUAUGUUAAGACAUCCGGCCGAUUCCCCACAAUUGAUCAAAAUUGACAAGGAUUUCCAUGAUUUUGGUAAGGAGCCUAGAAAUCUAAGACUUUCCCUUGCAAGUGAUGGUGUGAACCCUCAUGGUAAUCAAAGUAGCACUCAUAGUACAUGGCCGGUAAUCUUAAUGAUUUAUAACCUUUCUCCUUCUUUAAUUAUGAAACGGAAGUAUAUGAUGCUUUCAAUGUUAAUAUCAGGACCUAGACAACCUGGCCAUGAUAUAGACAUUUAUUUGGCUCCUUUGAUUGAAGAUCUAAAAUUGAUGUGGGAUUCUGGCAUUGAAGUGUUUGAUGCGCAUCGUAAUGAAACUUUUAAUUUGAGAGCCAUGCUUUUCGGCACAAUAAAUGAUUUUCCCGCCUAUGGUAACUUGUCAGGUUAUACUGUGAAAGGUUAUAAAUCAUGCCCUAUAUGUCAAGAGAACACAACUUCAACUAAGUUGAAAAACUCAGGAAAAAAGGAAAGGAAAAAUUCUGGGAAAGUUGUCUACUUGGGAAAUCGUAAGUUUUUACCGGUGCAACAUCGUUAUCGAAGGUGGAGGAAAGCUUUUGAUGGUAAUGCUGAAGAGGGUAGAGCUCCGGUUCCUCCAACAGGUCUCCAGAUAUUACAAAAAGUAGAGGUCUUAGAUGUAAAUCAUGGAAAGUUGCACUCCUCCCAGGUUCCAACUCGUGGCUAUAAGAAGAGGUCGAUUUUUUUUAUCUUCCUUAUUGGAAGGACUUACAUGUUAGACAUUUUCUUGAUGUCAUGCACAUUGAGAAAAAUGUUUGUGAAAGUCUUGUUAGCACACUACUCAAUACACCAGGCAAGAGCAAAGACUCGCUUCAUGCUAGAAAAGAUUUAGUCGACAUGGGAAUUAGACCUGAGUUACAUCCUGUUAUGCAUGGUGAUCGUACAUAUCUUCCUCCAGCGUGCUAUACUCUAAGUAAAAAAGAGAAAAAAAUAUUUUGUGAGUGUUUACAUGGUGUGAAGGUUCCUGAUGGAUAUUCUUCCAAUAUUAAAAAUCUUGUGUCUUUGAAAGAUAAUAAACUUUUAGGUUUGAAAUCUCAUGAUUACCAUGUACUCAUGGAGCAUUUUCUUCCUAUUGCUAUUCGCUCCAUUUUGCCUGAAGAUGUUCGAAAUGCCAUUACAAGACUUUGCAUUUUCUUUGGUGAGAUAUGUAGAAAAGAAAUCAACCCUUUAAAGCUACCUAACUUGCAAAAGGAAGUUAUUGUUACUUUAUGUCAGUUGGAGAUGUAUUUUCCACCUUCUUUCUUUGAUAUAAUGGUCCAUUUAACAAUACACUUGGUUAGAGAAAUUCAGUUGUGUGGGCCUGCAUAUCUAAGAUACAUGUAUCCUAUUGAGAGAUACAUGAAGAUUUUGAAGGAUUACGUAAAGAGUGGAAGCCAUCCGGAAGGUUGUAUGGUUGAGCGCUACCUUGUAGAGGAGGCAAUUGAUCUUUAAAGUGAUUACCUCUCUUUUAUUGAUGCGGUUGGAAUUCCAAAUCCUAGGCAUGAUGGAAGUUUGAAUGGGCAAGGGAAAGGGAUCAUGGGAAAUAAGGUGUUGACUAUAAACCCUGAAAUGUGGCAUCGCGCGCACUUGUAUGUCUUGCAUAAUAGUUCGGAGGUUGAUCCAUAUGUGGAAGAACAUAUGGAUUACUUAAGGACCCUUUAUCCAAUUAAGAGUGAGAAGUGGAUUACUGACAAACACAAUUCAUGCUUUAUUGAGUGGUUAAAGGCUCGAGUUGGAGAUGAAAUAGCUCAAUCACCUUUUGAUGUUUCUGAUAGACUUAAAUGGUUGUCCCGAGGUCCUAGUAAAGAUGUCUUCUCAUAUUCUGGUUACCAAAUAAAUGGGUUUACAUUCUGUACAAAGGGUAGGGACAAUGAAACUACAACACAAAAUAGUGGGGUGUCAAUUGUAGCACAAGCUAUGCAUAUCUCAAGCACAAAAGACAAGAACCCCAUUUAUGCAAAUAUGUCUUACUAUGGAGUAAUUGAAAACAUUUGGGAAUUGGACUAUGGGCUGUUUAGAAUUCCUAUAUUUGGUUGUAAGUGGGCUGAUAACAAUAAUGGAGUUCGUUUUGACCAUAAAGCCGGUUUCACAUUUGUUGAUCUCAAUAGAGUGGGUAGUAAGGAUGAUCCAUUCAUAUUGGCCAGUCAAGCAACACAAGUUUUCUAUGUUACUGACCCAGCUAAUAAAAUAUGGUCUUUUGUUUUGUCGUCGAACAAAAGAUAUCCUAUCGAUGAUGAGGACCAUGAAUUAGAUGAAAGGGAAGAUCCUUCGUUUGUACUGCCAUCACAACCACUCGAUGAUCAAGUUGUUGAAGAAGAUUUUUAUAAAAGAGAUGAUCAUGAGGAGGGGAUAUGGGUACAUGCGGAGGAAGGAGCUACCAAAUCCAAGAAAAAAAGAAAAAAAACUUGACAUGGUACUAUAUUUGCUUCUGCUUUUUGCUUUUGCUUCUGUUAAUAUUACUUCUGGUUCUGCUUUUGGUUUUGCUAUUUUUGCUUCUCGUUCUGCCUUUUGAUUUUGCUUCUACUUGUGGUUCUGCUUUUGGUUCUUCUUUUGGUUCUACCUUUUGACAUGGUACUAAACAUGUUCCCCAACGUUUGCUAGAUUCAUUAUUCGAAGAACUCAAGUUGAUAUACAAGGUUGACGAAAGUAGGAGGAAAUUUAUGAUGACCAAAGCUAAUAUUGCUUGGAGAAACUUUAAGUCUUCGCUCUCAAGAGAAUGGAUAUGGACUGAAGAUAUGGAGAUACGUAAGACACCGCCAAAACAAUACGAUUUCAUCAAGUUAAAUGACUAGACUGAAUUUGUAACAAGUCGGCUAAAAGAAGAAUGGAAGGAGAAGAGUGAAGCUGCUAGAAAGUCUGCAAAAGGAAACAUUUAUCCUAAAAAACGAGCUCGUAGAGGAUAUGCUCGAUUUGAGCAAGAUGUUCUUGAGGAGUUGGCUAAGAAAGGCAUCCAUGAAUCGUCCUUAGGCCGAGGACAGCUGUGGAAGUUAAUCAGGAGGGAUAAGGAUGGAAAUGUUGUUGAUGAAGGAGCAAAAUCAGUAGCUUCACGUAUUGUAUGUAUUUUAUUUCAAUAAGUUUUUAUUUUUAAGUAAUUGUUAUUUCGAUUACCAAGUUGUUCAUGGUAUAGUCAUU